GUAGGUGGCAAGCGUUGUCCGGAAUUAUUGGGCGUAAAGCGCGCGCAGGCGGUUCUUUAAGUCUGAUGUGAAAGCCCACGGCUCAACCGUGGAGGGUCAUUGGAAACUGGAGAACUUGAGUACAGAAGAGGAAAGCGGAAUUCCACGUGUAGCGGUGAAAUGCGUAGAGAUGUGGAGGAACACCAGUGGCGAAGGCGGCUUUUCUGGUCUGUAACUGACGCUGAGGCGCGAAAGCGUGGGGAGCAAACAGGGAUUAGAUACCCUGGUAGUCCACGCCGUAAACGAUGAGUGCUAAGUGUUAGGGGGGGUUUUCCGCCCCCCUUAGUGCUGCAGCUAACGCAUUAAGCACUCCGCCUGGGGAUACGGCCGCAAGGCUG
rnacentral:rRNA from 1 species